AGUGAGGCAGUGGCGGGGGAAGGCACCGGUGGGGCCGACGGGCGGGCUGAGGAGGGAAGCGGGCGAGCGAAGUCCCAGUGCGCGCCGCGGCGGCCCGGGUACCCUCCCCUUCCGGGCGUGAGGCGCCGAGAGAGGAAAGCCGAGCGGAGCGGACUCGCACAGGCGGCGAGGUGCUUCUCGGGUCUCCCAAGACCGGCCUCCCCGCGGCUUCGGCGCUCCGGUCCGGGUUCCUCAACACACACCUAGCUCCAGGCACCGGCAGAGCUUGUCGCCAGUCCGUCGGAGCCCCGGUGGCGGCCCGGGCUCUCGGUGGGGAGGAUGACGGAGCUGCAGUCGGCGCUGCUACUGCGAAGACAGCUGGCAGAACUCAACAAAAAUCCAGUGGAAGGCUUUUCAGCAGGUUUAAUAGAUGACAAUGAUCUCUAUCGUUGGGAAGUCCUUAUUAUUGGUCCUCCAGAUACACUUUAUGAAGGUGGUGUUUUUAAGGCUCAUCUCACUUUCCCAAAAGAUUAUCCCCUCCGGCCUCCUAAAAUGAAAUUCAUUACAGAGAUUUGGCACCCAAAUGUUGAUAAAAAUGGUGAUGUUUGCAUUUCUAUUCUUCAUGAGCCUGGGGAGGAUAAAUAUGGUUAUGAGAAGCCAGAGGAACGCUGGUUACCUAUCCAUACUGUGGAAACCAUCAUGAUUAGUGUCAUUUCUAUGCUGGCAGAUCCUAAUGGAGACUCACCUGCAAAUGUAGAUGCUGCAGUAAGAAAGAAUGGAGGGAAGACAGAAAUGGAGAAUUUAAAAGGAAAGUUGCCCGCUGUGUAAGAAAAAGCCAAGAAACUGCUUUUGAGUGAUGUUUAUUCAAUAGCUAGUAACUUCACUUAUUUCAGGGUCUCCAAUUGAGAAACAUGGCACUGUUUUUCCUGCACUCUACCCACCUAUUGCUGGACUUCUGUUGUAAUAAGUUGGCAAACUCUGGCUGGAACUGGGCUGCAAUAAAACAUGCCAGUCAUUAAUGCUGACAAGAGCCUAACAAGUGCCAACUAAAGAUGAUUACGCAUUUUGAAUUCUAAUGAACUGUUUUAACCUUCAGGAAGAAUUCUAAAGACCUGUACAUAGCACAACAUGAUCCGGAUAAUAUAUAUACUGUUCAUGUACAUCCACAAACACACCUUGUACCAAAUAAUGCUUUCUUGUAGUAGAAUAAGAAUCGUGUAAAUUCUUAAAGACUUUAGUGGGUUUUCUUUUCCCAUUCAUUGUUUUUUUAUCAGUUCAAAAAGAUUCCUGAAAGCAUGUCAGGUGAAAACCAGUAAGGAUGAAAAGUUUCCAUAUAAUUUCCUUUAAACCAUUGAGUCUUUCAUUACAUUCUUUCCAUUUACUAAUCUUUUAUAUUUUCUUUGUUUUGUCACUCUCCCCUUUCCUUUUAUCUCUUAUAUCUGCCAGAAAGUUCUCAAAUCAUUUAGUUAAAAUACUGAAAUACUAGUAAAUUACUUGAGUUUUCACGAUGACUUCAGAGGAGGGGUCAUCACUAGGUGCUUUGUCCUUUUUGUACUCUGAUUCACCCAUCUCUUGGAUUGGAUGUAGCAAUAACAUUUUCUGGCUGUUGAGAGCUCUUGAUCCUAGUCAUUAUCUCCUGAGAACUUUAAAAACAAAAUGUAAAGGCUGUUCUAAGUUCAUCUUAGUGAGAUUUAUUCCAAAUAAUACAAAAAUCCAAAUUUGGUUUUAUUUUUGCCCUUAAGUUGUCUAAUAUUAAGGUUGGAUGAAUAUAGCAUGCACAGCUACAGGCUUUCUACAUCUGGGAUUGCUAUUUAAAAUGCUAUUUGUCCUAUUACCCUUCUCCUUAGUCCAUAUUUGUUUCUUCUUACAGCAGAUUUUCCUUACCUAUUGUACAAAGAAAUUGCGAUGUAUAUUUUCAUGUAAUUUGAUUUUGGAAUUUUGUCACCUUAUGUAGUGAGUUCUUCCAAAAUAUAAUUUUUUUCCAAUAAUUGUCAAGUUGUUGGCUUUUAUUGUAUUAAAUGAAGGUUAUAGUACUGAAUACCAGAGAAGUGCAGUUUAGAAAAAAAUCUCAGGUUGAUUCCUUAUGCAAACAAACUUAAUACUUGAAAAUCUCAUGGCCAUGGCAGUAUACUAUUGGGUUCUGUCUACAUUCUUUGAAUCUGAAAGUAUUAUAGAGGAAAGUCCUUUGCUAACUGACAUUCAGAUUUUGUCACUGACAUAGUGCACUUAGAUUUGAUUUUUGCUUGAGUGUAAGUAUGUUUCCUAAGCAGUUUUAUAAAACAACUUCAGUGAUGGGUAAAAUUAGUACAUUAAAUGUUGAAGAUAGGCAGGCCUAAGCUCCUGUCUGGUUUUAGCUGAGAAUGGGAAGUCGUGUUUGGUAUAUAAGAGCUAGAGAGCAUAAAACAGUACUUGUUACUUGAUGCUGUUUGAGUGUGAGAAUAGGUGUGGCUCUGCCCUUGGGGUUUGGAUAAAUCUUUUGGCAGAAGAGGGAAUGAAAGGAUUCCUGUCCAAGUUAGACCUUUCAACUUAUGUCUUUUUAAAGCAGAGGGAGAAUGGAUCAAGAUGUGGCUGUGACACAGCAACAUUUUAAAGUUUUCUUAGAAGCAUUGUAAAGUCCUAUAAGCAUGAAAACCCGUAACUAUGUAGCAACUGUGAACACUUCGGUUUUGUUGGAGCCCAAUAAAUCUUCAAGAACUUUUAGAUACCUGUUUCCCACCCCAGACUAGAAGAGUUAACAACUACAGUGCUACUGUCUUCCUAUAAGGGACAUUCAGAAAUUGUUCCCACAGUGGUUGCUUUCACAAAUGUGGAGUUGGAUUUUUGAUCUAUUGCUGUGAUUCAAGCAGUCUGUUGAAUUAAAAUCCAGGGUGUGACUGCUAAACAAGUAGUAAAUUACCUAGUAACUCAGGGACAACUAUUUCUGAACUUAUAAGUGGCACUGUAAUAUAUUUAUUUACCUUUGGAUAACCUUGUGUUUCUUUGGGUUAGAUCAAGGACUACUGGAAAGGUAGGAGUGGUUGCCUUUCUCCUGAAGCUCUUUCCCCUCAUGGUGCCCUGACCAUUCUCUACACAUGAAACGAGCCUGAGCCUAAAUGUUAGGGCUUGCUUUUCUGUCAGAGGUGUCAUCUGUGCCUUUCCUAGUGUUCAUCUGACAAUGUGGAUUUCAAUGCCUCUGCAUUUGACUUAAACUAAUACUCAGGAGGCACUAAACCAAGUGGCAUUUCUCCCAGUAAUGCAUCAUCAUUAGUGUUAGGCAAUUAUGUUUUAGAAAAGGUCCCAUCACUACCCCAAAACCUUGCCACCUAUGUCCACCCAUCAGCUACUCCCACAGAAUUUUUUAGAUUAUAGAAUUGUUGGCUGUUAACUAAUUUGCUCAAAGUUCUUGUAGAGGAUUACAAAUUUUAGUCUGUUUUUGUAAUGGGAUAAUACUGAUGGCUUUAUGACCUCAGAGUUUAAAAUUCACAUGGAAUUGAUAUUCUUGUCUUUAGAAGGUAAUGCUUGAACAUUUGAUUUUUCUAUUCUGUGAUACCUGGGUGUCAUACUGUCUAAUGGCCUUUGGUCCCAAUUGUGAAAUUUUAUAUAAGCUCAUUCAUUCUCUACAAACCUGCCCCCUUUGGGUCUUGGUGCCUGUGUAUCAUUGUCUGGUCUCUAGUUGGUGGAAUUGCCCUUUUUUGUACUGCCACUUCUCAACAUUUUUGAAGUUUGACAUAAUGUUGCUUCAUUCCAGUUUUUUUUUUUUUUUUUUUUAGUUCUGUAAUUUGUUGACUGUAUUUAACUAUGUGAGCUUUUUUUUUUCUGUGAUGUUUACUGUAUUGUAAAGCACCUUAAUCAUGUGAUGGGUGCUCUAUAAAUCAAUAAAUGAUGACUUAGAGGCUGUAUUAUGAGCUAUUUUGGUUUUAGGUUGCAGGUCUCAAGCAAGUUGUGGGAUGCUUUGUAUAGAAACAGCAUAUAAUACCAAAUGAUACACACACACAAACUUUGAUGGAUCCAUAAGCUUUAUUUUAGGAAGGAAUUUGAAAGCAAGAGUUAACUUGACUUCCAGUCUGAUAAGAUGCCCUUUAAAUUUCCAGUGCAUGGUCUAACGUCGUUUUAUUGUUUUAUCAAGAGUUUCUGUUCAUGGUGACUUAGAGGUUUGAAGUGAACAUUUGGCAGAACAAUAUUGGGGAUCUGUCUUGCUUAAAUUAGGCUAGUUCUGCCUUAGAGAUCAGCAAAUUUAUGAGGAACCUAGACUCAGAUGUGAACUGGAUGAAACCACCUCCCCUCUAAACAAAUUGCCAUCUCUGCCAGGUGUGAUUUGACUAACACUUUCUCUUAAAGAUAAUAGUAUCUACUUGUCUUGAGUCCUCAGAUAGUUUAUAUGUAUUUAGUGGUAGAAACUGAUAACUUAAUGUAUUGAUAAUUAUGCUCAUCUAUAAGUUUCUAGUAGCUGUUUGGCCUCUUCCUUAUAAACCGGAAGACUAUGCAGCCAGAUAUCUUAGAGCUAAAUUAGAAACAAGAAAAUUUAACCCUGAUAAAUACAUUUAGAAUAAAAUUGCUAU